GGGACGAACGCUGGCGGCGUGCUUAACACAUGCAAGUCGAGCGGAAAGGCCCUUCGGGGUACUCGAGCGGCGAACGGGUGAGUAACACGUGAGCAACCUGCCCCUGGCUCUGGGAUAGCCUCCGGAAACGGGGAUUAAUACCGGAUAUUCACUGCUCCCUGCAUGGGGGGUGGUGGAAAGUUUUUCGGCUAGGGUGGGGCUCGCGGCCUAUCAGCUUGUUGGGGGGUGACGGCCCACCAAGGCGACGACGGGUAG
rnacentral:rRNA from 1 species